UACGUAGGGGGCGAGCGUUGUCCGAAGUUACUGGGCGUAAAGAGCGCGUAGGCGGGCUUCUAAGUGAGAGGUGAAAGGUUCGGGCUCAACCCGGAGAGUGCCUUUCAUACUGGGAGCCUUGAGUGCGGGAGAGGCAAGUGGAAUGGUCGGUGUAGCGGUGAAAUGCGUAGAUAUCAAGUGGAACACCAGUGGCGAAGGCGAGUUUCUGGACAUUUCCUGACGCUGAGGCACGAAAGCCAGGGGAGCAAACGGG
rnacentral:rRNA from 1 species